rnacentral:snRNA from 1 species
AGCUUUGCGCAGUGGCAGUAUCUUAGCCAAUGAGGUUUAUCCGAGGCACGAUUAUUGCUAAUUGAAAACAAGAUUACUUGUUAGACCUAAAUUUUAGUUUUUUUAAGGAACGUUAAUAUGUUAAUUUGAAUUUUUUAAAAUUAUAAUAAUAA